CAAAAGACCUGGCGGACUUGUUUGAAUUUCAGAGCACGUCCUUUCUCACACAGAGGGAUGGACUAUACCCUGGCCAGAGGCACCCCCCUCACCCCCACCCUAACCAAUGAAAAAAAAAGAAAAAAAAACAUGCCGACUCUCUCAGCCCGACAGUGCACUUUUCCAUUUUGGGCCGUGGACAAAUAGGUUAUGGGAAACUUCUCUCCCUCCCUCUGUCCCUCCUCUUCACUCUCUCCGGCUCUUCACUCUCCCCACUUCUCUCCUGCGCUUGGGAUAAGCUUCGGCUUACAGCAGUGCAACUGAGGCACGCGUAACGAACUAAGUAAGCGGCAAUUUUAAACGAAGUGAUGUCUAAACAACACUGCGUAUGGGAGAUUGUUACCCUCCAGGAUGAAUACAGGGGUUAUGUUGGAGAAUGAACAAUUCAGAAACGAAGUGGGAAAAUAUGAAGAGAAUUCACAGACAUCCUUGAAAUUCAUGGACCUCCUUGAAAUUCAUCCUCAAUAGAGAAAAGCUACCCAAGGGGCGAGAUGAGAGGCGGCUGCUCUGAAGAGGCGAAGAUGGACAUCAAUCAGCAGAGGUCCACCCUCUAGACCGCAUCUCUCCAGUGUUGGUUGGAACUAUGGGACAUCACUGGACAGUCUUUUUUCACAAUGGACAUAAAAGGACAAUCCUGUUAUGAACAAUCUGAAGCUGAAAAAGGCAGUUUAACAAAUGGCAAGUGAUGCCUCCUAAGAGCGCUGCAGCUUCCCCGAGACAAUGUGUCGCAAGUGUGAAAGGAAUGUUGGGGAAAGCUGUGGAUGACUUCACCUCGCCUCAAGUUGCCUCAGGGACCAGUACCACAGUGGCUACAAAGUUUUGUUUUAUGGAUACCUGAUAUCUUUGACAAUGUGGAAAAUGGGCUACAAAAAUACGAUGCAAUCUAAAGCACUAGGAACCUACAGCAUUCAUCAUCGAAUGUGUGCACAUUGAGAGUGCUAUUUCCAUUCUGUAGAUUUCCUUUUGAAAUUGUUGCACUGUUUUUUUUUUGUUACUUUGAAAUUCUUUUUCUCUAAUAAAUGAUAUAUGUUUUCUAAAA